AUUGGGAUUCUGUUUGGGAUUCUGAUUGCGAUUAAGAUUGGGUUUUCAAUUGAAUUCCCCCUGUGCAAAGUGACGGAAGAAAUCAUUCCCUUUCGCGCAUUUUCUCAUGUUUCUUUUUCCCUCUUACGGCAAAUUUUUCGAGCAGCCCGUCGAGCUACCCGUCGAAGACUCUGCUUCCUACCCCUCGCCUGAGCGCGCUGUGACAGGUAUCGAUGUGUUCGAUCGAUGUGGCCAAUAGCUGUCAGAAGUCUUGCGUUGUCAUUCUUUGAGUAGUGCUAUCUCUUUCUCGUGUGUAGCCCAAUUUUAAGACCGGAAUUGGAAUUGGUACCGAUAGGAAAUGUAAACAAACGUCAACACAAAUUCAACCAGUGCUCAUCUCUCCCGUGAAAAGUUUCCCGAUAGAAAGCGUGAAAAUGGCCUCGAAUCAGGACAAGAAAAGUGGCUUGAUGUCCUACGCUAUUGCCCGGCUCUAAAAACAGCGUCUGGAGGAAGUGGAAAGGAAACUCCUUCUUGCCCAGCAGCCAGAACCUCCGACUGUUGAUAACCGAGCGCGUGAUGCUGUGCCAGUGCAGUUUGAAGAUGUUCCGAUGCCCAUGGAAGUGAUCGACGAUGCUGCUCCGCUUAGCGAAAGCGAGGAGGAAGGUACGACCGACUCAAGCAGCGGCGAGGAUACUAACGUGUAGGAUAUCCAGGUCGAGGUGGAAAUGCCAGACCAUCCGUAAGGAGAUCUUUCGUGCGAGGAUGGCUUGAGGAUGUGGGCCCUGCAAACUGGACAAACUCAUCGCUGUUUGAACCUUUUGCUGGGCCAUUUGCGACUUCACUUCCCCCAGACCAAAUUGCCCCGAGAUGCACGGACGUUGAUGAACACCCCCGCGUCCGGAACACCGGAGACAGCCCUUACACCAAUCGCAGGUGGGCAGCUGUGGUACCAGGGUGUGGAAAAAUGCCUGCUAACAUAUUUUCGCGAUUGUCAGCCAGCCCAGGAGGGGUUCGAGUUGAACAUUUUUGUGGACGUCCUACCCGUGUACAAGAGCAGUCGGACCCAAUUUUAGCCGAUUCUCAUGCAGGCUCAUAACGUGCCACAUACUCCUGUAGUGACGGUUGCAAUAUUCUGUGGCGAAUCGAAACCGUUUUUCGUCCAGGAGUUUUUGCAGCCAUUUGUGGACGAGGUGAACAGACCGUAUGUGACAGGUCUGACAAUUAAAUCCCGCACUUACUGGGUGGAAGCGCGUGCAAUAAUUGCAAAUGCUCCGGCACGUGCAUUUAUUAAAGGUGUUAAAUCGCAUAAUGCGUACAGCGCCUGCAUGAAGUGCACAAACGUUGGUGAAUUGGAUGGACACCGGAUGAACUUCAAGUAUGAUGAACAAUGCCCGCCUCGGAACCACAAGGAUUUUUGUGACGACAAAUAUCCAAUACAUGUCAACAACCCUACGCCUUGUACGAGUCUGUUAGGUUGCGAUAUCGUCGACGAUUUUGUGUCAGCCGAUGACAUGCACCAAGGGCGUAGAUGCAAAGUUGCUACAUUUGUGGAUAAAUAAAUGGCUUCCCUAACGUACCUUGUUACUUGCCACGUCACCAGCAACGUGAAGUGUCGGCGCACUUGCGUCUGUUAAGGCUGCCUUCAGAUUACCAACGUAAACUGCGCGACCUGCGAUACAUCCAUCUCUGGAAAGCUUUCGAGUAUAGGAUGUUUCUGCUGGUUGCCGGUUUCGUUGUUCUGAAGGAUAGACUUAACCAAGGUUAUUUGACUCUAUACAGGUUACGACAGAGCGAUUGAGAGGGUCACCAUUUUGUAAACCUUGUUUACAAUUUGUCUGUCAAAAUCGACGCCGGUCAGCUGAUGCUUGGAAUAAACAACAUAAAUAAGAUUGCAGAAGCUGAAACUAACGCUUCAAGUUUUCUUCAUCCUAUCACGUUCCAUCGUUAAUAGAAUACGACUUCCUUGUUGACCUGUUCAAUGCUGAGUUUGAAAUUGCAGUCACAGCUUCUGGGGACGAGGAUUUAUGCCAUCUAGCAGCAGCAUUGAUAAAAAGGGUGAGAAAUUAUGCAGUCCUGAACGCGACCCUACUGCGAUGUGUGGGAAGCGGCGAGGCUCCAUGCCGAUUCGCCACAAUCGUCGGGUUCAGGGUGAUCGUCUAUGCUGCUCCUGUUACAGUUCCGUAUCGUAGCAAACGAAUGUUCGUGCUCCUGUCUUGUUCCAGUGGUAGAGAAUUCAUGCCAACUCGGGUGCAGCUUAAUUUAAGUGCUAGAGCGAAAAGACGAGAGAUAAAUGUCGUCCCGGCGGUGUUAAACAAUGGCGGGAGUCCAUUUCAUUUGUGCUCGAGUCAAGUACAAUACAGAGGGAAUAUGAUGUUUGAAGCAUUUGUGGUGGGUACAUAGGUGACAUAUAUAGGUAGGGGGAUCAUAGCUUACAAAUUCCCACAUUUGUGUGAGGCGAGUGCAUUGCACGGCAGAAAAGAGAGUGUGUAAAAAGGUUGAUCAAGUAGGUGCUCUCGGUAGGGGUGCACGGUGCUGCUGGUGUACGGCCCGUACAGUAUGAGUAUCAAAAUGUUUUGUACAUAGUGUUUAUUUAUAUAAUAUUUUGUGAUUGCGUAAAUUGUUGUGACGAAAGUUAUGAAAAUAUCAUUUUGUCAAUGUUAUAAAGGAAAAUCGUAUUUGAUAAAUGCUACCAAAAAACACAAAUAUAUUUGAAGUUUUUUUUUCUAA